UACAGAGGAGCCAAGCGUUGUCCGGAUUGACUGGGCGUAAAGCGCACGCAGGCGGACGCGCGCGUGGGGUGUGAAAUCUGGCCGCUUAACGGCCAGGCGCCAUCCCAUACGGCGCGUCUGGAGUGAUGCAGAGGUCGAUGGAAUUGCCGGUGUAGUGGUGAAAUGCGUAGAUAUCGGGAGGAACACCAGUGGCGAAGGCGGGCAUCUGGGCCAACACUGACGCUGAGGCGCGAAAGCGUGGGGAGCAAACAGG
rnacentral:rRNA from 1 species